CCAGACUCCUACGGGAGGCAGCAGUGGGGAAUAUUGCACAAUGGGGGGAACCCUGAUGCAGCGACGCCGCGUGGGUGAAGGAGUACUUCGGUACGUAAAGCCCUAUCAGCAGGAAAGAAAAUGACGGUACCUGACUAAGAAGCCCCGGCUAACUACGUGCCAGCAGCCGCGGUAAUACGUAGGGGGCAAGCGUUAUCCGGAUUUACUGGGUGUAAAGGGAGCGUAGACGGCAGUGCAAGUCCAGAGUGAAAGCCCGGGGCUCAACCCUGGGACUGCAUUUGAAACUGUCAGGCUGGAGUGCAGGAGAGGUAAGUGGAAUUCCUAGUGUAGCGGUGAAAUGCGUAGAUAUCAGGAGGAACACCGGCGGCGAAGGCGGCCUGCUGGACCGUGACUGACGUUGAGGCUCGAGAGCGUGGGGAGCAAACAGGAUUAGAUACCCCAGUACU
rnacentral:rRNA from 1 species